GUGAACGCUGGCGGUAGGCCUAACACCUGCAAGUCGAACGGCAGCACAGUAAGAGCUUGCUCUUACGGGUGGCGAGUGGCGGACGGGUGAGGAAUACAUCGGAAUCUACUUUUUCGUGGGGGAUAACGUAGGGAAACUUACGCUAAUACCGCAUACGACCUACGGGUGAAAGCAGGGGAUCUUCGGACCUUGCGCGAUUGAAUGAGCCGAUGUCGGAUUAGCUAGUUGGCGGGGUAAAGGCCCACCAAGGCGACGAUCCGUAGCUGGUCUGAGAGGAUGAUCAGCCACACUGGAACUGAGACACGGUCCAGACUCCUACGGGAGGCAGCAGUGGGGAAUAUUGGACAAUGGGCGCAAGCCUGAUCCAGCCAUACCGCGUGGGUGAAGAAGGCCUUCGGGUUGUAAGGCCCUUUUGUUGGGAAAGAAAAGCAGCAGGUUAAUACCCCGCUGUUCUGACGGUACCCAAAGAAUAAGCACCGGCUAACUUCGUG
rnacentral:rRNA from 1 species